rnacentral:rRNA from 1 species
GACGAACGCUGGCGGCGUGCCUAACACAUGCAAGUUGAGCGACGAACCAGGGCUUGCCCUGGGGCAAAGCAGCGAACGGGUGAGUAACACGUGGGUAACCUACCCCGAUAACCGGGACAACCCGAGGAAACUCGGGCUAAUACCGGAUGUGCUCACUGGACUUCGGUUCAGUGCGUAAAGGAAGCUUCGGCCUCCGUAUCGGGAGGGGCCCGCGGCCCAUUAGUUUGUUGGUGGGGUAACGGCUCACCAAGACCGCGAUGGGUAGCUGGUCUGAGAGGACGAUCAGCCACCCUGGGACUGAGACACGGCCCAGACUCCUACGGGAGGCAGCAGUGGGGAAUCUUGCGCAAUGCGCGAAAGCGUGACGCAGCAACGCCGCGUGGGGGAAGAAGGCCUUCGGGUUGUAAACCCCUUUCAGGAGGGACGAAGGUUCGGCGGUGAAUAGCCGUCCGGACUGACGGUACCUCCACAAGAAGCCCCGGCUAACUACGUG